CCCAGGCCAGCAUACCUGUUCCACCUGUCCGAAGACCCGCAGCAGGUUUCCGCGAAGGACACCCUGGAGCUCUUCCUCACUCCAGCCACGACUCAGCAACUCCUCUAUCAGAACCGGGGGCGGACAAAUGGACAUUCAGCUUCGACCCCAGCACAACUACCUGCCUCUAGGCUCCUGUGAGGAAGAUGUUCAUCUCUGGCUUUGAGUUCAGAGGAGACUUCACCUCUAGGAGCGUGGAUGAGCCUCUCCGAUUGCUCAGGUUCAGGUUUGCUGGAACCUUUCCGUCCUCCUCCUCCUGGCCUUUGUCCGUAUCCUCCUCACAGCAGCCUGCAGUCGCUGGCCCUGCCGAAGUUGGCAAGUGAACUCAGUGAGGCCAUGACCACCAUAUUCUGGCCUCUAGUGCCAGACCUGAGCACAGCAAAGGCUCAACCAACAUUCCUUGAAGAGCGAGUCGACUUGGAGCUCAGCAGACUGCUGCCUUUCCUUCCUUCAUGGAGCAAGGGCAUGUGACAACAGGGACAACGUGCCAGAGCAGCCAAAGCUACUGUGUGUCCAGAGCUGUGCUACCAGUCUCAUGCAUCGUAGUCCGAUUGA